UUAUCCUUCACCCUUUCAAUUUCCCUUCUCCCUAAUAUACAUUCGUUGAAUGUAAGGCAGCCAAAUCGAAUGUCCUUCCAUUUUCCAUCUGCAAUCUUCAAUGAUGGAGAGGGAAACAGAUGUGAGAGUAGGGGAGAAUUCCACCGGUCACCACCGUUGAUUGAAUAUAUAUCGGUUGACAAGUUCUGGGUCUUGUUCUGCUUUUUCACAGCUUUCAAUUUGCGUUUUUAACCCUAAAGAAUAAAGAAAACAGGGGUCACACGUAUCAUACGAGUCAAGAACUGCAAUGGAAACCACCUGUAGGAGUUACUCUCGAAACAUGGAAGACGAAUAUUAAAUGUUUAUCCGUCACAUGAACCCGCCACGAGGGUAACGAAUCAGAGAUGUUUUACAACACCGGUCACCAUCACGGUUACCAGCUAAACAAGGGGUACAGUGCGUUCACCUUUUGUUCAAUGGUUGUUGAUUCGUUACACCAGUCAGGCAUUGUUAUUCUUAUCAUUGAAUAUAUUUUUUUAAACUAAGGUACAGGUUGGCUAAGUUCUUACUCACUGUCAUGUGUGUGAUACAUUUUAUAGGCUAAUCAGAGAAUCAAGUAUGAAUAAUCAAAGUGGGGACCGCUCAUUUUUGACUAUCUAGAAGGUUGUCUCCGCCACAAAGAAGAGAUGUUAUAUUUGAAGCCACAAAGCAGAGAUGUUAUAUUUGAAGCGGCCAGGGCAAUAACGGAACUAAAAGGUAACAGAAUAUUCUAAAUAAAAGAAUCCUUGAUUCCUCUUGGUGACAACUCAGGCUCUUCAAGCAUCUCACUUAAGGAUGACAUUUCCGGUUGGGUUUAUUUAGUUGGCUCUUAUAGUAUAUCAUUUGUUUUCAGUCUGGUUAGUCAAAGGUCUCUAACAUUCUUGUUAUUGAUUUCUGUACUAAUAUAUGUAUGCACAUGUUUUAGUAUUACACACCGUUCAGGUGUAAAUAAUAGAAUAUCUAAUGGCAUUGAUGGCAGCAGUUAAAAACUUACCCCACCGUGAAGUGCGGGUGAUUUUAUAUAUAUACACAACU